AGGAGAUGUUUCUGUAUACGAAAAGCUUAGGGCGGUUUGAAGUUGAGUUUCUCUGUUUCAUUACCUAUGGAGCAUUUUUGAGACAUUUUGACACUUGAGAGUUGAGACUCAUUAAGUUUCCCACCUGAGGAGGCAUGUCUCAAGUGAGAGAUCCGGCCAUUAAGCUUUUCGGGAGGAAUAUUCCGGUAGCUGACUCUCGGAUUCCCUCGGUUUCCGAACAAGGCUCCGGCUCAGAACUUCAGUCUCCGGCAAUUCCUUUAGUCACGGAUAUUCCUUCUGAGAUAGAUAAUAAAAAAGAUACCAAAAACCAAAAUCCCUUAAAAGAGAAUGAGGCCAAAGUAGAUCAUAAUCCUGAGGAAGACCGAGCUGCUAAAAAUGAUGCAAGUGGCCAAGAGAAGGUUUUAAGGAAGCCAAACAAGGUUCUCCCUUGUCCUCGCUGCACUAGCCUGGAGACAAAGUUUUGCUAUUUCAACAACUACAAUGUAAACCAACCUAGACAUUUUUGCAAGAAUUGCCAGAGAUAUUGGACAGCUGGAGGAACAAUUAGAAGUGUUCCUGUCGGGGCUGGAAAGCGCAAGAAUAAGCCUUCAGAGUACCAUCAAGUAGUGGUGCCAUCUAAUGUAAUACCAGUCACCAAAGCAGACAGCCUUAACUCUGCUAGCGACCAGCAUCCCUCAUGUCUUGAACUUCCUGCCUCUUUAAGACUUGACAAAGGAACAGGAGCAGUUCUAAAUAUUAGCAAAGAUGCUCCACCAUGUGAAUCCAUGUCAACUGUGCUCAAUCUCAAAGAACAAAAGAAAAAUGUUGAAAUUUGGCCUUUGGUUUCUGAGGAGAGUAGCGAGGAGCCCUUAUCAUCUGGCUCUUCCUUCACAGCUGCUACUUCCCACGAAAGUGAAUCUCCAGGACAUUGCAACAGUUUCAAUUUAACUCGUCCACUUCUGUGUUACCCUUUUUCCCAAUGUGCACGCCAUUGGAACCCAGGUUCGAAUGCACUGGUGUUUGGACCUAGUAGUAGUAUCUCUAAUACUGGUCAUAUGGGUUCUUCGCCUAUGGUGCCAGUUCCUGGCUUCUGUGAACCAACAUUCCCACCUCUUCCUGUGCCAUACUGGGGUUGCAUGCCAAGCUGGGAUGCCAGGAAGUGGAAUAAACAGUUGGUCAGAUCUAAUGGCAGCCCUUCAGUUUCAUCUCCUACUAGCAACAGCAGCUGUUCAGGUAAUAACUCACUGAUCUUGGGAAAGCAUUCAAGGGAUGCAAAUUCACUGGCUGAAGAAACAAGGGAACAGAGCCUUUGGGUACCUAAGACACUGAGAGUUACUCAUCCGGAAGAGGCUGCAAAGAGUUCCAUAUGGUCUACUUUGGGUAUUGAGCCUGACAAGGACAAAUCCAGCAUCAGAGGUGGCAUUUUUAAAGCUUCCCAAUCCAAAUCAAAUACAAAUUCUCAUUCAUCAGAUGCUGAUAAGGUCUUAAAAGCAAACCCAGUGGCUUUUUGUCGAUGUCAAUCAUUUCAGGAAAGCACUUAAAGAAGCUCAUGUUGUGUGUAUAUGGAUAUCAUCUUUUGGUGGUCUGUCCAUGCAUUGUGAAAGCCUAUGUUGUAUGAAGUGCACAAGAGUUUUAUAAUUUCUGCAUCUGUUUUUGCUAUGCCCUGAGAUCAUAUGGUUUGUAAGAUGACCAGUGGCUUGUGGGACUUCUCUUGAUCUUGUGUUUUCUUAGUAAACAAGCAUUACAAAAGAAUAACAUGCAAGCCUCUUGCCUAGAAGAAAAGGAUCCAGAGAGAAUUUUCAGUCAUUCGUUUUGGGCUUUAUUUGUAGAUGAAAGCUAUCCACAUCACCACCAACCGUUAAUGGUAAUGGCUCCGAAUUUUUGUGCUGUGAUGAUGGCCAAUGCCAAUUGUUUGGCUCUCAUACCUCUAAGUGAUAGAUUGCAUUUGCAUGCCAUGUUUGAUUACAUGAAGAAAGAGACUUCUCAUUAUUCAAGAAUACAUCACUUUGAGGAGUACUCCAACUCCAAGUUUCAAGGAGGAUGUCACAGCUCAGUCUUCAUUGUACUAAGUGUCACAGCUCUAUGAAUCCUAAAUCUGUGUGGCGGCAAACUGAGAAUUCCAAAGAACAUUUUCAAGACAGAGGCCUAUCCAUCAGAUGGUGUGCUAGACAGCACCUGAUAUGCAUGUCCCCAUCAUAGCCUUCAAUGAUUAGUCUGAGCUCUCCUUCUGAAUUGCCGGAUCAGCGAUACUGCCUCGAGAUGUAUCGUCAAAGGUUAUGUUGUGAAAAAGAUGACAGCAGAGCAAAAAUAAA